rnacentral:rRNA from 2 species
UACAGAGGUGGCAAGCGUUGUUCGGAAUUACUGGGCGUAAAGGGCGCGUAGGCGGCCUUGCAAGUCCUGCGUGAAAUCCCUCGGCUCAACUGAGGAAUUGCACGGGAAACUGUUUGGCUUGAGUUCGGGAGAGGGAAGCGGAAUUCCGGGUGUAGCGGUGAAAUGCGUAGAUAUCCGGAGGAACACCGGUGGCGAAGGCGGCUUCCUGGACCGACACUGACGCUGAGGCGCGAAAGCUAGGGGAGCAAACGGG